AUAAAUGAAGCGGUCUGGAAAGGCCCGCCAAAGACGGUAACAGCCCGGUAGUUGAAAUGGCUUUCCCUCCAGAGUGGAUCCUGAGUACGGCGGAACACGUGAAAUUCCGUCGGAAUCCGGGAGGACCAUCUCCCAAGGCUAAAUACUCCCUAGUGACCGAUAGUGAACCAGUACCGUGAGGGAAAGGUGAAAAGCACCCCGGAAGGGGAGUGAAACAGUUCCUGAAACCGUGUGCCUACAAGUAGUUAGAGCCCGUUAAUGGGUGAUAGCGUGCCUUUUGUAGAAUGAACCGGCGAGUUACGAUUUGUUGCAAGGUUAAGCGGAAAAAGCGGAGCCGUAGCGAAAGCGAGUCUGAAUAGGGCGCAUAAGUAACAGGUCGUAGACCCGAAACCAGGUGAUCUACCCAUGUCCAGGAUGAAGGUAAGGUAAUACUUACUGGAGGUCCGAACCCACGCACGUUGAAAAGUGCGGGGAUGAGGUGUGGGUAGCGGAGAAAUUCCAAUCGAACUUGGAGAUAGCUGGUUCUCUCCGAAAUAGCUUUAGGGCUAGCCUCGAGGUAAAGAGUCAUGGAGGUAGAGCACUGUUUGGACUAGGGGCCCUUCUCGGGUUACCGAAUUCAGAUAAACUCCGAAUGCCAUGUACUUAUACUCGGGAGUCAGACUGCGAGUGAUAAGAUCCGUAGUCGAAAGGGAAACAGCCCAGACCACCAGUUAAGGUCCCCAAAUAUAUGUUAAGUGGAAAAGGAUGUGGGGUUGCUUAGACAACCAGGAUGUUGGCUUAGAAGCAGCCACCAUUGAAAGAGUGCGUAAUAGCUCACUGGUCGAGUGACCCCGCGCCGAAAAUGUACCGGGGCUAAACAUAUUACCGAAACUGUGGAUGAACCUCAUUAGAGGUUCGUGGUAGGAGAGCGUUCUAAGGGCGGUGAAGUCAGACCGGAAGGACUGGUGGAGCGCUUAGAAGUGAGAAUGCCGGUAUGAGUAGCGAAAGAAGGGUGAGAAUCCCUUCCACCGAAUAUCUAAGGUUUCCUGAGGAAGGCUCGUCCGCUCAGGGUUAGUCGGGACCUAAGCCGAGGCCGAUAGGCGUAGGCGAUGGACAACAGGUAGAGAUUCCUGUACCAGUGCUAAUUGUUUAACCGAUGGGGUGACACAGAAGGAUAGGGAAUCGCACGAAUGGAAAUGUGCGUCCAAGCAGUGAGUGUGAG
rnacentral:rRNA from 1 species